rnacentral:tRNA from 1 species
CUAGACUAGUGGGCCUUG